UAGCUUGGUGGUUUUGGGAAGACGACCAGUGAAUCUCUAGUGAGGAGGGGCUGCUGGGCGUGUCCUUGGUUACAAUGCCUUGGUCCUACGAAGCUGAGAGAAACGAAAAGAAUAAAAAGUGGCGCAGUGUGGAAGAGGAAUUAGGUGGCAAAGGGAUCUGUCUCUGUGUAAGGAGAUCCCAAGGGCCAAAAGGGACAGGCAAUCCGGUGCACCCCUGUGUUCUCCACCACACGCCUGUCUCCAGCACAGAGACAUCUGCACAAGGCGGAGAAGUGGGAGGAAGAAAGUGGGGAAGAGGAAGGAGGGUGUUGGUGAUGAUCGUAAUGGCAGUAGUGAUGGUGAUGGUGGUGGUGGAGGAGGUGAUGGGGGGUGAAGGUGAGGAAGGUGAUUGUGAUAGUUUGAAUGAGAACCGCCCCCACUGGGGCUGAGCUUUGAGGCUUCAAAAGCCCAAGCCAAGCCCAGAGUCUCUCUCUCUCCCUGCGGAUCAUGGUUUAACUCUCAGCCACUGCUCCAGCACCUGCCUGCAAGCCACAUUGCUCCACGAUGAUAGCGGACAGAAUCUGUAAGCCAGCCCCAAUUAAAUGUUUUCUUUGAUAAGA
rnacentral:lncRNA from 1 species